AACGAACGCUGGCGGCGUGGAUAAGACAUGCAAGUCGAACGAGAGAAUUGCUAGCUUGCUAAUAAUUCUCUAGUGGCGCACGGGUGAGUAACACGUGAGUAACCUGCCCCCGAGAGCGGGAUAGCCCUGGGAAACUGGGAUUAAUACCGCAUAGUAUCGAAAGAUUAAAGCAGCAAUGCGCUUGGGGAUGGGCUCGCGGCCUAUUAGUUAGUUGGUGAGGUAACGGCUCACCAAGGCGAUGACGGGUAGCCGGUCUGAGAGGAUGUCCGGCCACACUGGAACUGAGACACGGUCCAGACACCUACGGGUGGCAGCAGUCGAGAAUCAUUCACAAUGGGGGAAACCCUGAUGGUGCGACGCCGCGUGGGGGAAUGAAGGUCUUCGGAUUGUAAACCCCUGUCAUGUGGGAGCAAAUUAAAAAGAUAGUACCACAAGAGGAAGAGACGGCUAACUCUGUGCCAGCAGCCGCGGUAAUACAGAGGUCUCAAGCGUUGUUCGGAAUCACUGGGCGUAAAGCGUGCGUAGGCUGUUUCGUAAGUCGUGUGUGAAAGGCGCGGGCUCAACCCGCGGACGGCACAUGAUACUGCGAGACUAGAGUAAUGGAGGGGGAACCGGAAUUCUCGGUGUAGCAGUGAAAUGCGUAGAUAUCGAGAGGAACACUCGUGGCGAAGGCGGGUUCCUGGACAUUAACUGACGCUGAGGCACGAAGGCCGGGGGAGCCAA
rnacentral:rRNA from 1 species